GACGAACGCUGGCGGCGUGCUUAACACAUGCAAGUCGAACGAAGUGGCGAACGGGUGAGUAACGCGUAAUCAACCUGCCAUUCAGAGGGGGACAACAGUUGGAAAUGACUGCUAAUACCGCAUACUGAAGGAGGGGAUUGCGUCCGUUUAGCUAGUUGGAGGGGUAACGGCCCACCAAGGCGAUGAUCAGUAGCCGGUCUGAGAGGAUGAACGGCCAAAUGUGGACAGAGACCCGGCCCAGACUCCUACGGGAGGCAACAGGGGGGAAUCUUCCGACAUGGACGAAAGUCUGACGGAGCAACGCCGCGUGCGUGAUGACGGCCUUCGGGUUGUAAAGCUCUGUUAAUCGGGACGCGGUACCGGAAUAGAAAGCCACGGCUAACUACGUGCCAGCCGCCGCGGUAAUUC
rnacentral:rRNA from 1 species